rnacentral:lncRNA from 1 species
ACCUAGGUUGCUUCUAGUACCAGAUCUGACUCUGUUAUGUCAACUCUGUGCUGCAUUUUGAAGUGUUGGUGUAUAUGCUGUUGCAAAAUACAUCCACCUCGAGAAGCAUCUUUCAAAGUAUGCUUUCUGAGUGUACACUUUGUUUCUGCCCUCCAGAAACAAAGAACAAAUAGGAGCUGAAAAGUUCUUAUGGAAUAAUCAUUUGACUCUGGGGAAGAGAUCAGAAGUGGAUUUCACUCAAUUUCACUGUGUUCUGUCAAGAAGCCUAGCUGAAAGAAAAAGUGGGACUCUGCAGCGUCAGCCAGAUUUGAUUUUGAUUGCCAGCUUUUCAAAAAGGCUGUGCUGGUGGAAGACCAAGCCUGGAGAAUUUGUUGUGAAGUGGAAACCUCCACUGGUUGUUUCCUGUGUGGAGGAGAAUAGGCAUUUCCUGUGCUCCCUACAAGUGAAUCUUUGCAAGAACUUCUUUUUCUUGGAAAAUGGACACCUGGCUUGGAGGAGAUGCAGCACAGAGUCCCUAGCGGAAGCUCAAAAUGGAUGACUUCUACUGAUGCUUUGUGACAAUUUCAUCUCCUCUUUUCCUGUUUGAGAUGGCUGAUAAGAUCAUCAGGAAAAAUUUCUAAAAUAAGCCUGCGUGACAACGUCUCUUUCCCUUAACUCUUCUUUUCACAAA